CAGAUUUUAUUCUGGCCGUGCUGGCAGCUGAUUAGAUUGUGGCCACCCAGAUUGAAGGUGGGUCUGCAUUUUCCAGUCCACUGACUCAAAUUUUAGUCUCCUUUGGCAACACUUUCACAGACACACCCAGGAACAAUACUUUGUAUCCUUCAAUCCAAUCAAGUUGACGCUCAAUAUUAACCACCACACUGAAGGUCUCAUCAGACAUCUUGGUUAAGCAGCUUCUUAUUAAAGAUUUAUUUGAAUCUUGGGACAUGCUUUGAACAACAAAGACAAGAUUAUCACAAUUACAGCAGCUGUACAGAUACCACUAUUUGGUGGAGCCAUGAUUGAAUUGAUCAAACGGUAUUUAUCUUCUUGACUCCCUCUUUGACUAUCCCUGAAGGACUCUGG
rnacentral:lncRNA from 10 species